rnacentral:rRNA from 1 species
AUUAAACGCUGGCGGCAUGUCUUACACAUGCAAGUCGAACGGCAGCACGGGGGCAACCCUGGGUGGCGAGUGGCGAACGGGUGAGUAAAGCAUCGGAACGUGCCCUGGAGUGGGGGAUAACGUAGCGAAAGUUACGCUAAUACCGCAUAUUCUGUGAGCAGGAAAGCAGGGGAUCGCAAGACCUUGCGCUCUGGGAGCGGCCGAUGUCGGAUUAGCUAGUUGGUGGGUAAAGGCCUACCAAGGCGACGAUCCGUAGCGGGUCUGAGAGGAUGAUCCGCCACACUGGGACUGAGACACGGCCCAGACUCCUACGGGAGGCAGCAGUGGGG